GUGGCUGUUUCUUUGUUUAUCAGCUUUAAUUGUAACCAUUAAUGCAAACUGGUCUGCUCUGGUUAGCCUCCUUUCUUUGUUUGCUUGCUGCCGGGAAGGUAAGGGCUAGGGUGGCUAGGUAACAUCCAUCCCAUGUAAACAAAGCCGUUACAUAGCAUUUUGUUACAGCUGCGCUCCAUAGGCAGAAUUGUGACUCCGUUUAUCUGGCAGCCUGGUAAUGCAACAGGAUCUGAGGCUUCUCUGGUGACGGUGUCUCUUCUUGUGUCUUUUGUUGGAGCGCAUUCUUUUUUUUGUUUGCUGUGUUUUUGUAGUGUCCUAUAGUGACCCCUUUUCUUCACUGGAUGUUGCCCCUUUUCUCACCACUCCCCCCCCACUGGAUUCCCUCGUGGCUCCUUGGUAGAUACCCAUAGUUGCCUGAGUCCCUCAGUCCGGUGACCAAAGACCAUCUCAAGAAGAUCCCUCUGCUUGUUCAUCCAUACUGGCGAAUACCCGUUCCCCCAUCCUCCAGUCUGCCGAUUACCUGUCUGCCCUCCAACAUACUACCACCAUCUACCUCCAGUGAUCUCCUACUCCUCUUAUCAUCUGAUCCUGGACUGGACACCUCUAACCAGCCAUUAGAUGAAUUCGUUAACCUUUUACAAAGGACCCUUCAACAAGUUCCUGAUCCUGUUCCAACUCCUCCAGUCCGCUCCGUGUGUUCGGAAGUCCGUCCACCAAACCCGGAAAAAUACUCAGGUGAAGUAAAUCGCUGUGGUGAAUUCCUCUUACAAUGCACCCUUGCCUUCAAUCACUCACCUCAAAGUUUCUCUUAUAAUGCUGCUAAGAUUUCUUCUAUAAUUUCACACCUGAUGGGAAUGGCUCUAGAAUGAGUUGAAGCCAGAUUUAAAUAUCUGACAGAUUUUUGCUGCACCUUUGACAAAUUCCUCACUGAAUUCAAGCAGACAUUUACCCAAGAGUCAGACAAGACAUAUGAUUCAAGAAACCUUUUGACAACAAAACAGAGAUCUGUAGCAGAUUUUGUAGUGGAUUUCAGGAUUAAAACGGCGGCAUCCAUGUGGAACGAAUAAUCUGUAAAGAGUAUGCUUUUCCAUGCCCUUAACAAUUCACUUAAAGAUAAAUUAGCAACUCAAGAUGAACCCAGCACACUGAGAGAACUUUUCUCAGUUGCUAUUCACUUGGAUAAUCGAAUUAGAGAGAGAAAUAAAGACAAAAGUAGAAGGAUUCCAUCUGUUAAAGUUACCUUCUCUCUGGGUCCAUCUCCUUCUCAACUGCCCUCUCCUUCACAGACUCAGUCAGAUCCUGAACCUAUGCAGAUUGGUCGUACCUGGUGAUCACCUGAGGAGUGACAGAAAAGAAUGAAUUCUCACUUGUGCCUGUAUUUUGGAUCCCUUGGCCACUUCAUCGCCACUUGUCCUGUUUUGCCAAAACCCCCGGCCUGCCCGUAGAAACGAGGAGGCUGGUGGGCCAGUUGAGAAAAGACAAGACUUCUCUUCCCGGCGACACUAUUUGUCAACAACAAUUCCCUCAGUCUGUCUUUGUUGAUUGAUUAGGGGUGUGAAUGUAGUCUCAUUGAUUCAGCCUUUAUACAGCAGAUAUUACUAGAAACCAUUCAACUCCUGACUUCUGUCAGUGUAACCGCCUUGGAUGGUAAAUCUUUGCCUCAAAUCACUCACAUGACUAAACCGUUACAGUUACUCAUUUCUGACAAUCAUUGGGAACUGAUAUCAUUUACUCACAUUUACCCCACAGCUAACUCUUCCUAAGUUCUAGGUUUCGAGUGGUUGCAAAACCAUAAUCCCCACAUCAACUGGUCUGAGCUGCACAUUGAAUCCUGGUGACAUGAAUGUCAUUCUUGUCUCUGCUCCCCAGUUCCCCCAAGUCCACCACUGGCCGUUCAUCAGGAGGCUAAUACACCUGAUUUGACUCUCAUUCCCCCUGAUUAUCACAAUUUGGCUCCCAUCUUCGGCAAAUCAAAGGUUCUCUCACUUUCAUCCCAUCACCUUUACAACUGCACAAUCGACCUUCUGCCUGGCGCUCCAUUACCUUCGAGUCACCUAUAUUACAUUUCACGACCUGAACAUGAGGCAAUGGAAGAAUACAUCAAAGAUUCCCUGGCAACUGGCAUCAUCCGUCCUUCCUCUUCUCCCUUAGGAGCGGGGUUCUUUUUUGUGGGGAAGAAAGAUGGUUUCUUCAGACCUUGUAUUGAUUAUAGAGGUCUAAAUCAAAUAACUAUUAAGAAUAAAUAUCCCUUAGCUCUUCUUUCUUCAGCAUUAGUACCUGUUCAUGGAGCGACUGUUUUUUCUUUGCUUACCACCUACUCCGCAUCCGCCAGGGGGAUGAGUGGAAAACCACAUUCAAAACUCCCAUAGGUCACUUUGAAUACUUGGUCAUGGCGUUCGGUCUCUCCAACGCCCCAGAAUUUUUUUUCAAGCUGUGGUUAAUGAUGUUCUCUGAGACGUCUUAAAAACGUUUUCGUGUUCGUCUAUUUGGAUGAUAUUUUCAUCUAUUCAAAAAAUAUUACAGAACACAAGAAACACGUCAGUCUGGUUCUACAAUGCUUCCUUGAAAACAAACUACGUAAAAGCCAUCUGUAACUUUCCUGGGUUUCAUUCUUGAGGGCGGACAGGCAAGGCCUACUUCGGAAAAGAUACAAGCAGUACUGGUUACACAAAGGAUGAAACGACAGACUGGGCACACAGACGACAGAGACUAGAAGCCAAAUGAGAUGAGGACCCGACAAAGACACAGAGACACAGGUUAUACUAAAUACACAGGAGGUAAUCAGGGAACGAGACACACCAGGGAACUAAUCAAGGGGAGACAGGACAACUCGGAGACACAGGAAACUCGAAAUAAACACACAGAGAAACUCAAAUCGUGACAAUAUUUCCAGUCUGCCACGAGACUUAACCCCCGUCAAUCCCACUCGUCAUUGUUUUUCUCUUGGUUUAACCUCUCCGUUUCCUAUCUCCUCAGAUCCAGUAACAUCAAGCCUGAUGCGCUUUCCAGAGUGUACUCACCAGAUGAGUCCAUCCUUCCUCCCAGCUGUACUGUAGCUGUAGUAACCUGGGAAAUCGAGGACAUCAUUCACCAAGCUCAGCAGUCAGAACCCGACCUCAGAACUGGACCAACCAAUCAACUUUAUGUUCCUCCCUCUGUCCGAGCCCGUCUCAUCCAUUGGAUUCACACCGCCAAGUUCUCUGCUUAUCCCAGUACAAGUCGCACCAUAAUCACCUUAAUCACCUUAAUCAUCAUAAUCACCAUUCCUGAUUAAGUCGUUUCUGCCCUCUCUUCAAAGGGAUGUAAAAGAAUACAUACUGGCCUGUCCUACCUGUGCUUGUAACAAACCAUCUCAUCAACUUCCGGAUGGUCUUCUUCAACCAGUAUCUAUACCAAAGCGUCCUUGGUCGCAUAUCGCCAUCUGCUUUUUUACCAGACUUCCCAUCUCAAGAGGUAUGACCACUAUUUUCACAGUCAUUGACCGUUUUUCCAAGACCUGCCAUCUGAUCCCUCUCAGGAAACUCCCCACAGCCUUUCAAACAAUAACUAGUCAUCAAACAUGUUUUCUGCUUACAUGGAAUCCAUCAAGAAAUCCUUCUGCCCAAGGUCCUCAGUUCAUGUCACAAGUUUGGAAACAUUUCUGUUCAGCCAUUGAAGCAAAGGUUACAUUAACUUCUGGUUAUCACCCUCAGUCAAACGGCCAAACAGAAAGGAUGAAUCAAGAACCCUAACCCACCCUCCAAUGCUUUUCUUCCACCAAUCCAUCCGACUGGAGUCAGUUUCUAUCAUGGGUAGAAUAUGCUCACAAUACUCACAUUUCUGCUGCUAAUGGUUUGUCUCCAUUUGAAAUCUCUUUAGGUUACCAACCUCUCUCUUGUCCAUCUGACAAAAGAGAGAUCGCAGUCACUUCAGUCCAACAUCACAUGCGCUGCUGCAGAAACAUCUGGAAUAGGACCAUCUCUGCAUUCAACCUAACUGCUGAACAGAACAAACAUUAUGCUCAUCAGAAGAGAACACCUGCUCCACAAUAUUCUCCUGGACAAAAGAUUUGACUUUCUGCUCGGAUAUCCCUUUGAAAUCCAUGCCAAAUAAAUUUUCUCCCAGGUUCAUCAGCCCUUAUGAAGUAGUCAGUUAUCAGUCCAUCUGCAGUCCGACUUCGUCUUCCGUCUUUUCUCCGCAUCCAUCCCACUUUCCAUGCUUCCCAAAUAAAACCAGUCCAGACCAGUACAGUACCGAAUAUUUAAACUAGAUGGUUCUGUUAUGAGUACUCCAUAAUUUAUGAUAGAAGGAGUCUCUCUGGAUGAUAAUAAGCUAAAUAUUAGUCUAAAGUAAUAAGUACUCCACAGUUUAAAAAGUAUAUAAACUAUAUGCUCCUGUUCUGGGUUGCUAGGUAAAUGCAAGUACUCCAUAAUUUAUGAGGCAUAAAACUAAAUGUUGGUUCUCCAUGUUUGAUUCUAUUAAGUAGAUGGUCCUAAAUGAGAAUCUAAGGUAACGAGUAGUUUCUCUAGAUGAGUUUCUCUGGAUUCAAGGUUUAUUCUAAUUAUUUUUCUGGGUUGCAAGAUUAUUAGAAGUACUCCAAAAUCAUAAGCUAGAAGGGUUUUUUCUGGAAAAACUAAUAGAAUUUUCUCUGCAUAAUAAUCUAGAAAGUAUAAUAUUGGUCUAAAUAAUAAGUACUCCACAAUUUUUAAAAGUAAUAAAAUAACAGGACAAGGAAUAGAUGAAUCAGGGAAGUAUGCACAUGUAGCUACAUUAAGAUAAGACAAAGACAUGAGUGAAAGUGUAUCUGUUUGCUGUUUUUGCGUGUUGCAUGUGUACAAACAUGAAACCAUGCAGCUCGGUCUCCCAGGCAACAGUCUGAUAUGAUGGUGUUAUCUAGGAGCAAGUCCUUGGGAGCGCUCUGCUCCACAGUCACAUGGAUGAUUUUAGAAAGCAGUGAGGAGAGCAGGGGGCUCAUGUUCACAUAUCUUCCAGGAGAUUUGAGAUAUCCAGCCAGUCAAGGCUAACAGGGGAGCCAGUUCAGAUACAGAGAGCUUUAGGUCGGGUAGAUUGAAAUUUUUUAUUUGUCCUAAAGUCUCACCGAUACAUCUCUGUUAAUUCCAAUCAUCCAAAUUAGUGUGGUCGUUCCACUGAACCGAAACGAGCAACUUCUCCAGGAUCGAUUUGUUCCUGCUAGAGAGUUUUAGUCUGCAGCUGGACUACCAUUCUCAGCAAGAAUCACAUCCAACUUGCAUCUCUGUCCCACAGCAUGUCAGUCUGAGUGUUCGCUAGUCGGCACAAAUUUGUCGACAUGAAGGCAAAUAAAUCCAGCAGAUUUAUAAAAAACAGAGUGGCUGGAAUAUUAGCUACUUAUAGCCCGGUUCAGGCUAUAAGCGGCUUAUAUAUGCAGGUUUCCAGUAUUUUAAAAAAGCUCUGUGAAUGAGGUUUAUAGUGAGGAGCGCUCUAUAGUCUGGAAAAUAUGUUAAUGUAGUGGUAUAGAAAUAUAUGUAUUGCUAUACAAAUAGCUUUCAGGUGUGAGGUUCUGGUUGGGCAAAGUGGGCGUGGUUUAUAAGAAGCUGCUGCGCCCAAUCGGACACACAUGUCUUCCUCAAGCUUUUGCUGUGACUCGCGUCUCAUGGACUUUGACAGUCAGAAGGCAACAUAACAUCAAGUGCAUGCUGCUUUGAUCUUGAGAUGGCAAAGCGCUACUGUGCGGCUCUCCUCCUCAUCGUCGUUUUGUGAGUGUGUGUGUGCAUGAGUUUGUCUGGAUUAGGAGAUCUCCCCAUAUUACUAUUGCUGCUUUGUUGGUAUCCCGGAUUCUGCGCAUCACCGAUCAACAUCGGAUUGUGGUGGCGGCUACACGCCCUAAUUGAAGUGGUGUUUGGCAUGCGCUCAGGUCGCCUCCUGUUACGGCGUGGCCAGAGGGUCACACCGGCUUCGGAUAUUUUAAUUUAUUUUGUUGCUAUUUAAAACUAUUUAUAAAACUAUUUAUUCAUUUGGGCUGAUAUUGUUUUCUUUUUGUUAUACAUUUUGGGUUGUUGUCCUUAUUAAUUGUUUUUUUUUUCUCUGUUGGCAGUUGCUGAGGUCCGGCGGAGGUGUUGGUGUGGUUAUCGCACAUUAAUAAUAAUAAUCCGAUGAACUUUAAAACAGAUUCAUGUGGAUUUAGUG